rnacentral:rRNA from 1 species
AUUGAACGCUGGCGGCAGGCCUAACACAUGCAAGUCGAACGAGUGGCGGACGGGUGAGUAAUGUCUGGGAAACUGCCCGAUGGAGGGGGAUAACUACUGGAAACGGUAGCUAAUACCGCAUACCAUCGGAUGUGCCCAGAUGGGAUUAGCUAGUAGGGGGGGUAACGGCUCACCUAGGCGACGUUCCCUAGCUGGUCUGAGAGGAGGACCAGCCACACUGGAACUGAGCGACGGUCCAGACUCCUACGGGGGGCAGCAGUGGGGAAUAUUGCACAAUGGGCGCAAGCCUGAUCCCGCCAUGCCGCGUGUGUGAAGAAGGUCUUCGGAUUGUAAAGCACGUUAAGUUGGGAGGCGUUACCAACAGAAUAAGCACCGGCUAACUUCGUGCCAGCAGCCGCGGUAAUAC